rnacentral:rRNA from 1 species
GACGAACGCUGGCGGCAUGCCUAAUACAUGCAAGUCGAGCGGACUUGAUGAGAAGCUUGCUUCUCUGAUGGUUAGCGGCGGACGGGUGAGUAACACGUAGGCAACCUGCCCUCAAGCUUGGGACAACUACCGGAAACGGUAGCUAAUACCGAAUACUUGCUUCUUUCGCCUGAAGGAAGCUGGAAAGACGGAGCAAUCUGUCACUUGAGGAUGGGCCUGCGGCGCAUUAGCUAGUUGGUGAGGUAACGGCUCACCAAGGCGACGAUGCGUAGCCGACCUGAGAGGGUGAUCGGCCACACUGGGACUGAGACACGGCCCAGACUCCUACGGGAGGCAGCAGUAGGGAAUCUUCCGCAAUGGGCGAAAGCCUGACGGAGCAAUGCCGCGUGAGUGAUGAAGGUUUUCGGAUCGUAAAGCUCUGUUGCCAGGGAAGAACGUCCUUGAGAGUAACUGCUCAAGGAGUGACGGUACCUGAGAAGAAAGCCCCGGCUAACUACGUGCC